GAUGAAGAACGUAGUGAAAUGCGAUAAGUAAUGUGAAUUGCAGAAUUCAGUGAAUCAUCGAAUCUUUGAACGCACAUUGCGCCCAUUAGUAUUCUAGUGGGCAUGCCUGUUCGAGCGUCAUUUCAACCCUUAAGCCUAGCUUAGUGUUGGGAAUCGACUUUACUGUCGUUCCUCAAAUUCAACGGCGGAUUUAUAGCAAUCUCUGAACGUAGUAAUUUUUUUUCUCGUUUUUGAAAUACUAUAAACCUCAGCCGCUAAACCCCCAAUUUCUUAUGGUUGACCUCGGAUCAGGUAGGAAUACCCGCUGAACUUAAGCAUAUCAAUAAGCGGAGGA
rnacentral:misc_RNA from 1 species